rnacentral:rRNA from 1 species
AGUAGCGGCGAGCGAAGCGGGAAGAGCCCGGUGUGAAAAUCUCUUCGGAGAAUUGUAUUUGAGUGUCCUUUGGGUGGUCAGUGCGAGCAAGUUGCUUGGGAUAGCACGCCAUGGAGGGUGAGAGCCCCGUCCAUCUCGCACAGGAUCCAUCCGUACAAGGUCGCUUCAACCGAGUCGGGUAGCUUGGGAAUGCUGCUCUAAUUGGUGGUAAAUCUCAUCAAAGGCUAAAUAACGGUGGGAGACCGAUAGCGAACAAGUACCGUGAGGGAAAGAUGGAAAGAACUUUGAAAAGAGAGUGAAAAGAACUUGAAACCGUCACGGGGGAAGCGGAUUGCGUGAGUGGUGGUGUCGCUUGUUCAGCGCCUUUGGCGUGCAUUCUGGCGAUACCUUGUCGUUGUGGCUGGUUGGUAUGUGAUUUUGACGUACUGGCUGGUGAGGGCUCCCUUUCGGUGAGGACAACGACAAAAUGACGCAAUACGACCCGUCUUGAAACACGGACCAAGGAGUCUAGCACGGCUGCGAGUCGAAGGGUGUAAAACCCAAGGGCGCAGUGAAAGCGAAUUUAUAAGCAAAUUGGGGAGGCGUGGAGUUUUUAACAAAAUGUCCUACCUUGAGCAUUUGUGCUGGGACCCGAAAGAUGGUGAACUAUGCCGGAGUAGGGCAAAGCCAGAGGAAACUCUGGUGGAGGCUCGUAGCGAUGCUGACGUGCAAAUCGCUCGUCGAACUUGGGUAUAGGGGCGAAAGACUAAUCGAACCAUCUAGUAGCUGGUUCCCUCCGAAGUUUCUCUCAGGAUAGCGGGCCGACAUAUGUUGUUUUGUGCGGUAAAGCGAAUGAUUAGUGCAUUUGGGGUCUGAUAGACUUCGGGCGAUUCUCAAACUUUAAAUGCGCAAGGGGGUGGCUGCUUAAUUGAGCCUACUCUUUGAAAAACGUCGGCCCUGUGGGCCACUUUUGGUAAGCAGAACUGGCGAUAAGGGAUGAACCUUAAGCGCGGUUAAGGCGCCGCAUUGCCCGCUUAUAGACCCCACAAAAGGUGUUGAUUCAUUUAGACAGCAGGACGGUGGCCAUGGAAGUCGGAAUCCGCUAAGGAGUGUGUAACAACUCACCUGCCGAAUGAAUUAGCCCUGAAAAUGGAUGGCGCUUAAGCGGGCAGCCGACACCGCGCCGUUCCGGCGAGACGAUGCCGGGAUGAGUAGGAGGGCGUGGCGGUCAGUGACGCAGGCGAGGGUGCAGACCCCGCUGAAACGGCCGCUAGUGCAGAUCUUGGUGGUAGUAGCAAAUAUUCAAGCGAGAUCCUUGAAGGGCGAAGCGGGGAAGGGUUCCACGCAAACAUUGAUUGGGCGUGGGUGAGUCGUUCCUAAGCCGAGUGGCAAUUGCUAAGUAGCGGCGAAAGGGAAGCGGGUUAAAAUUCCCGCACACGGAUAUGGAGGCGGCGACGCAAGCAGAGGUAAAUACGCUGGCGAGGGCGCUGGGCAGAGUUGUCUUUUCUGUUUGACCGGCAUCGCGCUGUGUGGAAUCCGCUUAUCGGGAGAAACACGCGCGGG